rfam:Myotis davidii contig34741, whole genome shotgun sequence.
UGUGCACCAGUGGGGUCCCUCGGCCUGGCCUGCGGGAUUGGGUUGAAACCAGCUCUCCGACAACCCCCAAGUGGUACCAGAUUUCAAGAGGGUGCAGGCCAGGCCGAGGGACCCUACUGGUGCACA